UACGAAGGGGGCUAGCGUUGCUCGGAAUGACUGGGCGUAAAGGGCGCGUAGGCGGAUGGCUUUGUCGGGCGUGAAAUUCCAGGGCUUAACCUUGGGGCUGCGUUCGAGACGGGUUGUCUUGAGUGGGGAAGAGGGUCGUGGAAUUCCCAGUGUAGAGGUGAAAUUCGUAGAUAUCGGGAGGAACACCAGUGGCGAAGGCGGCGAUCUGGGAAGAUACUGACGCUGAGGUGCGAAAGCGUGGGGAGCAAACAGG
rnacentral:rRNA from 1 species